UUGCCUGCCACCAUGUAAGACAUCCCUUUGAUCUUCCAUCAUCUGCUGCCAUGAUUGUGAGGCCUCCCAAGCUGUGUAGAACUGUGAGUUUAUUGAACUUCUUUACCUUAUAAAUUACUCAGUCUCGGGUAUUUCUUUAUAGCAGUGUGAAAAUGGACUAAUACAGCCC